UAAUACGUAGGGUGCGAGCGUUAAUCGGAAUUACUGGGCGUAAAGCGUGCGCAGGCGGUUUUGUAAGACAGGUGUGAAAUCCCCGGGCUUAACCUGGGAACUGCGCUUGUGACUGCAAGACUUGAGUGCGGCAGAGGGGGGUGGAAUUCCACGUGUAGCAGUGAAAUGCGUAGAGAUGUGGAGGAACACCGAUGGCGAAGGCAGCCCCCUGGGUCGACACUGACGCUCAUGCACGAAAGCGUGGGGAGCAAACAGGAUUAGAUACCCUGGUAGUCCACGCCCUAAACGAUGCGAACUAGGUGUUGGGGAAGGAGACUUCUUUAGUACCGUAGCUAACGCGUGAAGUUCGCCGCCUGGGGAGUACGGUCGCAAGAUUAAAACUUAAAUGAAUUGACGG
rnacentral:rRNA from 1 species